rnacentral:rRNA from 1 species
UAGAGUUUGAUCCUGGCUCAGAUUGAACGCUGGCGGCAGGCCUAACACAUGCAAGUCGAGCGGCAGCACAAGGGAGUUUACUCCUGAGGUGGCGAGCGGCGGACGGGUGAGUAAUGCCUGGGAACUUGCCCAUUCGAGGGGGAUAACAGUUGGAAACGACUGCUAAUACCGCAUACGCCCUACGGGGGAAAGAGGGGGAUCUUCGGACCUCUCGCGAAUGGAUAGGCCCAGGUGGGAUUAGCUAGUAGGUGAGGUAAAGGCUCACCUAGGCGACGAUCCCUAGCUGUUCUGAGAGGAUGGACAGCCACACUGGAACUGAGACACGGUCCAGACUCCUACGGGAGGCAGCAGUGGGGAAUAUUGGACAAUGGGGGAAACCCUGAUCCAGCCAUGCCGCGUGUGUGAAGAAGGCCUUCGGGUUGUAAAGCACUUUCAGUGGGGAGGAAAGGCUGAUGGUUAAUACCUAUCAGCUGUGACGUUACCCACAGAAGAAGCACCGGCUAACUCCGUGCCAGCAGCCGCGGUAAUACGGAGGGUGCAAGCGUUAAUCGGAAUUACUGGGCGUAAAGCGUGCGCAGGCGGUCUGUUAAGCGAGAUGUGAAAGCCCCGGGCUCAACCUGGGAACUGCAUUUCGAACUGGCAGACUAGAGUCUUGUAGAGGGGGGUAGAAUUCCAGGUGUAGCGGUGAAAUGCGUAGAGAUCUGGAGGAAUACCGGUGGCGAAGGCGGCCCCCUGGACAAAGACUGACGCUCAGGCACGAAAGCGUGGGGAGCAAACAGGAUAAGAUACCCUGGUAGUCCACGCCGUAAACGAUGUCU